rnacentral:tRNA from 1 species
UUGGCUCAGUGGUAUAGUACUUGCCUUGAAAGCAUGAGGUCCUGGGUUCAAGCCCUAGA